rnacentral:lncRNA from 1 species
CCAUCGUAGAUUCUUAAGUUAAGAUCGUGACUUUAGCUUCACCGGGUGUGCCAAGGAUAACUUAGAAGGGUGCUCUUUAUUCGGGUCCUAAAAGUGUUACAUGAUAUGUUCAGGCUCAUUCUUUGGUUAAGAGACGAUGUUUAUAUUAUUUGGCUUAUAUUCAUGAUACUAGUGUUGCUUUACCUCCUUUAUUGGAUUCUGUUUGUGUGGUUCACGAGUUCGGG